rnacentral:rRNA from 1 species
CAGUCGCCGCGGUAAUACGAAGGGGGCUAGCGUUGUUCGGAAUUACUGGGCGUAAAGGGCGCGUAGGCGGCCGAUCAAGUCAGGCGUGAAGGCCCCGGGCUUAACCUGGGAACCGCGUUUGGGACUGGUUGGCUUGAGUUCGGGAGAGGAGAGUGGAAUUCCCAGUGUAGAGGUGAAAUUCGUAGAUAUUGGGAAGAACACCGGUGGCGAAGGCGGCUCUCUGGACUAUACUGACGCUGAGGCGCGAAAGCGUGGGGAGCAAACAGGAUUAGAUACCCCGGUAGUCCCUGUCUCUUAUACA